AUUGAACGCUGGCGGCAUGCCUUACACAUGCAAGUCGAACGGCAGCACGGGGCAACCUGGUGGCGAGUGGCGAACGGGUGAGUAAUGCAUCGGAACGUACCUUUCAGUGGGGGAUAACGUAGCGAAAGUUACGCUAAUACCGCAUAUUCUGUGAGCAGGAAAGCAGGGGAUCGCAAGACCUUGCGCUGAUUGAGCGGCCGAUGUCAGAUUAGCUAGUUGGUGAGGUAAAGGCUCACCAAGGCGACGAUCUGUAGCGGGUCUGAGAGGAUGAUCCGCCACACUGGAACUGGGACACGGUCCAGACUCCUAUGGGAGGCAGCAGUGGGGAAUUUUGGACAAUGGGGGCAACCCUGAUCCAGCCAUGCCGCGUGAGUGAAGAAGGCCUUCGGGUUGUAAAGCUCUUUCGGCCGGGAAGAAAUCGCACGGGCUAAUACCCUGUGUGGAUGACGGUACCGGAAUAAGAAGCACCGGCUAACUACGUGCCAGCCGCCGCGGUAAGAC
rnacentral:rRNA from 1 species